rnacentral:rRNA from 1 species
CUUGGUCAUUUAGAGGAAGUAAAAGUCGUAACAAGGUCUCCGUUGGUGAACCAGCGGAGGGAUCAUUACAGAGUGUAAAAACUCCAACCCUUUGCCAUCUCUACUGCCUGUUGCUUCGGCGGGCGGCCCCAGGGCGGGCUCGCGUCCGCCCGCCGAAGACCAACUACAGACUCUUCUAGCGUCCUUCUGAAGAAGCUAAAGAAAAAAGUCAAAACUUUCAACAACGGAUCUCUUGGUUCUGGCAUCGAUGAAGAACGCAGCGAAAUGCGAUAAGUAAUGUGAAUUGCAGAAUUCAGUGAAUCAUCGAAUCUUUGAACGCAUAUUGCGCCCGUUAGCAUUCUAGCGGGCAUGCCUGUUCGAGCGUCAUUUCAACCCUCAGACCACGUCUGGCGUUGGGGCCUCGUAGCUGCUACGAGCCCUGAAAAUCAGUGGCGGGCUCCGCUAUACUCCGAGCGCAGUAGUACCUCUCGCUCAGGGCGUGUAGCGGGGAACUAGCCUCUCCUAUUCAAAACAGUUGACCUCGGAUCAGGUAGGAAUACCCGCCGAACUUAAGCAUAUCAAUAAGCGGAGGA